rnacentral:rRNA from 1 species
UCCGUAGGUGAACCUGCGGAAGGAUCAUUAUCGUGGGGCUCCGGCCCCGUCGAGAUAACACCCUUGCCUUUACAGUACCGCCCGUUUCCUCGGCAGGCUCGCCUGCCAAUGGGGACAACAAAACACCCUGAUAUCACCUGUAACCGUCUGAUAAAACAAACAAAAAUCAAAACUUUCAACAACGGAUCUCUUGGUUCUGGCAUCGAUGAAGAACGCAGCGAAAUGCGAUAAGUAGUGUGAAUUGCAGAAUUUCAGUGAAUCAUCGAAUCUUUGAACGCACAUUGCGCCCCCUGGCAUUCCGGGGGGCAUACCUGUUCGAGCGUCAUCGCACCCCUCAAGCGCUGCUUGGUGUUGGGCGUCUUGUCCCCCCGUUGCGGGGGACUCGCCCCAAAGACAUCGGCGGCUUGCACGGCGUCCGUGGCCCACAGCACAACGUGGUUGCCCGCAGACGCGCCCGCAAGCGUGCCGCAACCGACGCCCCUUUUCGUGGCUCCUGGAUGGACCUCGGAUCAGGUAGGAAUACCCGCUGAACUUAA